UACGUAGGUGGCAAGCGUUGUCCGGAAUUAUUGGGCGUAAAGCGCGCGCAGGCGGUCCUUUAAGUCUGAUGUGAAAGCCCACGGCUCAACCGUGGAGGGUCAUUGGAAACUGGGGGACUUGAGUGCAGGAGAGAAGAGUGGAAUUCCACGUGUAGCGGUGAAAUGCGUAGAGAUGUGGAGGAACACCAGUGGCGAAGGCGACUCUUUGGCCUGUAACUGACGCUGAGAGACGAAAGCUAGGGGAGCGAAUGGG
rnacentral:rRNA from 1 species